rnacentral:rRNA from 1 species
AUUGAACGCUGGCGGCAGGCCUUACACAUGCAAGUCGAACGGCAGCAGGGGGGUUGCUACCUGGUUCCGCGGGGGAAGGGUGUGAGUAAUAUAGGGGACUAUGUCGUGUCGUGGGGGAUAGUCCGGAGACAGGCGGAUUUAUAGCACAUGCGCUGUGCGAGUAAGAGCGGGGGCCUUGGAGCUCCCGCGCUCUGGCGUUGGUCGAUGGCUGUUUAGCUAGUUGGUGGGGUAAAGGCCUACCAAGGCGACGAUCAGUAGCUGGUCUGAGAGGAUGAUCAGCCACACUGGAACUGAGACACGGUCCAGACUCCUACGGGAGGCAGCAGUGGGGAAUAUUGGACAAUGGGCGAAAGCCUGAUCCAGCCAUGCCGCGUGUGUGAAGAAGGCCUUCGGGUUGUAAAGCACUUUUGUUCGGAAAGAAAUGCAGGACGUUAAUACCGUCCUGUUAUGACGGUACCGAAAGAAUAAGCACCGGCUAACUACGUG